rnacentral:rRNA from 1 species
UACGUAGGGGGCUAGCGUUGUCCGGAAUCAUUGGGCGUAAAGCGCGUGUAGGCGGUCCGGUAAGUCCGCUGUGAAAGUCGGGGGCUCAACCCUCGAAUGCCGGUGGAUACUGUCGGGCUAGAGUGCGGAAGAGGCGAGUGGAAUUCCUGGUGUAGCGGUGAAAUGCGCAGAUAUCAGGAGGAACACCGAUGGCGAAGGCAGGUCUCUGGGCAUUAACUGACGCUGAGGAGCGAAAGCAUGGGGAGCGAACAGG